rnacentral:rRNA from 1 species
AUUGAACGCUGGCGGCAUGCCUUACACAUGCAAGUCGAACGGUAACAGGUCUUCGGAUGCUGACGAGUGGCGAACGGGUGAGUAAUACAUCGGAACGUGCCUAGUAGUGGGGGAUAACUACUCGAAAGAGUGGCUAAUACCGCAUGAGAUCUACGGAUGAAAGCAGGGGAUCGCAAGACCUUGUGCUACUAGAGCGGCCGAUGGCAGAUUAGGUAGUUGGUGGGAUAAAAGCUUACCAAGGCGACGAUCUGUAGCUGGUCUGAGAGGACGAUCAGCCACACCGGGACUUAGACACGGCCCAGACUCCUACGGGAGGCAGCAGUGGGGAAUUUUGGACAAUGGGCGCAAGCCUGAUCCAGCAAUGCCGCGUGAAGGAUGAAGGCCUUCGGGUUGUAAACUGCUUUUGUACGGAACGAAAAGCCCUGGGUUAAUACCCUGGGGUCAUGACGGUACCGUAAGAAUAAGCACCGGCUAACUACGUGCCAGCCGCCGCCGUAACAC